GUCCACGCCGUAACGAUGGAUACUAGCUGUUGGGAGCAAUCUCAGUGGCUAAGCGAAGUGAUAAGUAUCCCACCUGGGAGUACGUUCGCAAGAAUGAAACUCAAAGGAAUUGACGGGCCCGCACAAGCGGUGGAGCAUGUGGUUUAAUUCGAUGAUACGCGAGGAACCUUACCAAGGCUUAAAUGUAGAUUGACCGUUUUGGAAACAGAACUUUCGCAAGACAAUUUACAAGGUGCUGCAUGGUUGUCGU
rnacentral:rRNA from 1 species